UACGGGGGGGGCAAGCGUUGUUCGGAAUUACUGGGCGUAAAGGGCUGGUAGGCGGCCAACUAAGUCGGAUGUGAAAUCCCCAGGCUUAACCUGGGAACUGCAUCCGAUACUGGUCGGCUUGAAUCCGGGAGAGGGAUGCAGAAUUCCAGGUGUAGCGGUGAAAUGCGUAGAGAUCAUGGAGGAAGACCAGUGGCGAAGGCGGGUCUCUGGACAGUUCCUGACACUGAGACACGAAGGCCAGGGGAGCAAACGGG
rnacentral:rRNA from 1 species